rnacentral:rRNA from 1 species
UACGUAGGGUGCGAGCGUUAAUCGGAAUUACUGGGCGUAAAGCGUGCGCAGGCGGUUGUGAAAGACAGGCGCGAAAUCCCCGGGCUCAACCUGGGAACGGCGCUUGUGACUCCACAGCUUGAGUACGGCAGAGGGGGGUGGAAUUCCACGUGUAGCAGUGAAAUGCGUAGAGAUGUGGAGGAACACCGAUGGCGAAGGCAGCCCCCUGGGCCGAUACUGACGCUCAUGCACGAAAGCGUGGGGAGCAAACAGG